CUAUGGCGAGAGAGGGGUAGCAGAGCGGCGCGGGCGCCGGCCGCCGAUCGCCGAGCGAGCUGAGUGCGCACUGCCCACUGCGCGGCCAUUUUGUCGACGACACCGAGCCGAGCCCGAUGGCCAUGGCAUAAUUUAAAGUCAUUUUAUUGAUCGCCAACUAGUAGCGUAGUUGCGCAAUAUAAUAUCUCUAAGUUCGAGUAUAUCGCCAUUAAUGAUUAAGCUUCUUGGAGUCUAAUUAAAGAAGCCCAUCUACGAGUCUACGCCUUCUUCAGACGAGCCGGAUUACGGGCGAUGCGAUGCCACUAGAACAAGAAGAACCUGCGCACGAGCCACGAGGCGACCGUUACGUGGACUACGGAAGCUCGACACGCGGAGUCGUAUAAACUUCCAUAUAUUAUAUACGUCGAAGGAAAACAUAUCAUGGAUGAAAUCAAUCAAGCAAUUCGAAGAUUAUAGUGCCAACCAAUGGUGUAACACAGUGUGCUCGUCCCCAUUUCAUUUAAACUUAAAUUUACUUUACAACUCAAUUCUAUUUUCUAGCACAAGCACAAUGCACUACAAGGUUGAGCACUUUCCCACGUUGUAUGAGAACUCAACAUUUGAAGACCCACCUCUGGGAUAGAUUUUAUAAAGAAUACAUUACAGAGCUGCAAAAAAGACAGAAACGCUGCAGAGGAGGACGAUAUCUUCAACUUGGAGAGAUGGUGCUAGUCAAGAAUGAGCGGCUGGUACGAGACAGAUGGCUGCUCGGGUGAAUAACCAGCGUGUAUCCAGGCGCCGACGGUGUGACCAGGGUAGCAGACGUGAAGACAACAUCGGGCACUCUUCGGCGCACCUUCAAUCGGCUGUGCCCGCUGCCAGCUGAAGAUCGACCUGAUGUGUCUACAAGGCGCAGCCCGAGGGGGCCAACUUCUUGACGCCUUGCAUGUGUGCGAGCACAACGUGUCACACACAAGCUCACGUCACGGCGCGGUAGGCGAUAUGCAGCCACCACAGAGUAUCAUACUAAUGGCAGCCACAUGAAGGCACUACGGCGAGAGCGGGGGAGCAGAGCGACGCGGUGAGCGAGGCGACACCGCCCCGAUCGGUCAUAGCGUGUUAAUUGUUAUUGAAGGCAAACCAUAAGCGCAAUAUGUCUUUAAAUUCAUCAUUAACGACAUUAAAUCAAUUAUGAAGCUA